rnacentral:pre_miRNA from 15 species
UAUUCAGCUGCUCAUGCACCAUGUGCCACGCUGGAUGUGCUCGUUAGUCAUAAUAUCCUCCACAAAGCAAGGACUAUGACUAGAGACACAUUCAGCUUGGCGCCGAAUGCAUUUUAUUUUUAAAUUU